AACGAACGCUGGCGGCAUGCCUAAUACAUGCAAGUCGAACGAGAUCUUCGGAUCUAGUGGCGCACGGGUGCGUAACGCGUGGGAAUCUGCCCUUGGGUUCGGAAUAACUUCUGGAAACGGAAGCUAAUACCGGAUGAUGACGUAAGUCCAAAGAUUUAUCGCCCAAGGAUGAGCCCGCGUAGGAUUAGCUAGUUGGUGGGGUAAAGGCCCACCAAGGCGACGAUCCUUAGCUGGUCUGAGAGGAUGAUCAGCCACACUGGGACUGAGACACGGCCCAGACUCCUACGGGAGGCAGCAGUAGGGAAUAUUGGACAAUGGGCGCAAGCCUGAUCCAGCGAUGCCGCGUGAGUGAUGAAGGCCUUAGGGUUGUAAAGCUCUUUUACCCGGGAUGAUAAUGACAGUACCGGGAGAAUAAGCUCCGGCUAACUCCGUGCCAGCCGCCGCCGUAAUAC
rnacentral:rRNA from 1 species